CUUUUUUUUUUUUUUUUUUUUUUUUUAGGGCUACACUUUCGGCAUAUAGAGGUUCUCAGACUAGGGGUCAAAUCAGAGCCACAGCCAAACAAAGCGGAUCCGAGCUGCAUCUGUGACCUACACCACAGCUUAUGGCAAUGCCAGAUCCCUGGCCCACUGAGCAAAGUCAGGGAUUGAACCCUCAUCGUCAUGGAUACUGGUCGGAUUUGUUUCUGCUAUGCCACAACGGGAACUCCUGUAUUUUCUUAUUUAGUCCUCAUCACCCUAUGAGGGAGGUACUAUUAAUUAUCCCCAUUUUACAAUAAGGAAUAUAGAAGUUAGAGAUGGUAAGUGAAUUGUUCAAGGUCACACUGCUAGUAAAUUGUAGAGCACGAAGACUGAUUCCAGAACCUCCUCUAUAUCCUAUCUUUAACCUAUAUAUAGGAUAUUCAGCCUAUAUAUGUAUAUAUAUUUAUCAUUUAUUAUAUAUGCAUAUAAAGCUACAAUGAAAUAAAACUUUCUAACCUCCAUAUUUUAAGCAACUGGUGGAGACUUGGAAGUAGAAUGAUGCAUUGAUCCAGUUAGUAUUUACUGAGCACCUGCUAUGUGCUAGGCAUUGUGAUGAAUGCUCAAGAUGUAGAGGUGAAAGAUGCAGUUGCUGUCAUUGAGGACGUCACAGUUGGGAAUAGGGCAGAAGGCAGAUACCUAGAAGUCCCAUGAGGAAAGAACUGGGUAGAACUCAUGCAUAGAAAUUACAAAGAAAGAUUCUGAUACAACACAAGUGUUCCUAAUGGUUGAAGCUGUCUGAAAAUGGAAUGGGCUGAAACAGCUUUUCUCAUAGGAGGUUUCCCCAGCAAAAGUGAGGAGAUAAUUGUCCUGACUGUUAUAGAAGACACUGAGUCAAGCAUAACAUGGCUGGUUAGCCACCAGGCAAUCGCUCUGAUAUGGGUUUUGUUUUUUGUUUUUUGUUUUUUUGCCUUGCCCAAAGCAUGUGGAAGUUCCAGGGUCAGAGAUGGAACUCAAGUCACAGCAGUGACCAGAGCCACAAUAGCAACAAUGUCAGAUCCUUAAACUGCUGUGCCACAAGGGAACUCCUGAGCUGGGAUUUUUAAAGAAAAAUUUCAACAAAAUUUCUACUACUUGCAGAAAAGUGUGCAGGACUGAGGGAACGGACAAGAAUUUUGAUGCAUCCAGGGACUAGCAGAAGCUGGAAGGCGUUACCACCCUUCUCCAUGAAGAUGCCAGAGGAGCCUGAUUAAGAGAUGGAGCCUUGGGAAAGAGCCUCUCAGAGAGACAGGGAAUUUCUGGAAAGUAUAGCAACUGCCAGAACUGAGACAAUACAACACCCACAGAAACAAUCAGUAUAUCUCAGUUUCUCUCAGGUCAGGUAGUUCUGUUAUUUGCACUGUCACUCAGUCACCAAACCCAAAUGGAAGCCAGAGGCUAGGCUGCAGGGUGAUGCCAUUAAGGGAUGUAAUACAAUCUUCAGUGGCCAGCGGGCCCAGAGCACCAGAGGGGAAGGAGGGUGGACAUGGAUCUAGACCAACAAAUGGAGAACAAUCAGCACAGUUGGCUAAAGGCCCUUCUUUACUAAGAAGCAAAAAAUUCUCCCUGAGAUCUGUAAAAGUGAACGAUCAGGAAGUGAACCUCAACUAUGGGAGAAAAUUAGAGCUGAACGGAAAAUCCAGUUCUGCUCUUCCCAAGUCUCUUUCCCACCGCAGCACCCCUCCACCCCCCAACCCCUGCACUCCAGUGAGCACCACCUGCCCUGGAGCCUGGGCGAAGCACCAGGGCUGGGGAGCCUCCCUCCUGCGCGGGAGACCGAGAAGAGCCGGGCGCGGGGGUCUCGGCUCAGCUUUCCCAGGCGGAGGAGGCUAGGCUGGGGCAGGUGUCCCGCUCUGCGCAAGCGCUGGUGUCCGCAGGGUCCGCCCAGCCCUGUUCUGCGCGUGGGGGUUACCGCAGCCAUUCAGAAUGCCCAGGGUGCUAGACAAGUAGGGUUCUCCACGUGGGAAGAGGCGAGGUUGUUCAGGUGGCAAGGAUCCAAGGCAGAGCCUUCUUCCCCUCCGGGUCCACCUACCGCCCCUCCCUACUCCCCAACCAGAAAAGGACACGCACACAAAAAACUUUUGCCACGCUAUUAAUAUAUUCGCGUUCCCUCCCACUUUCCCAAUGGCCUACCAGCUGCAAAACUCCUGAAUAGAAAGCUUAAUUGUGCUUUGUCAUGCAGAGUACCUCGAUUUUCUAUAGAAGGUUACAAAGGGCCAUUUGAAGUAUUUCUUUCUCCGCCUAAUAGUGAACCAUUUGCAUAGGGCACCUCUGCGCCUGCCAGACCCAGGUAGCAGUGCCGUAGCUCCAGGGGCCCCCCGGGCAACAAAACUCAGUGGGGUUUCCAAGGGGCCCCCACUCCGCCUCCAGCUCCAAAUUCCGACUUUUCUCUCCAUUUCCUCGGGUCGCCACAGACCAGGCACCAGAGGAUGCCAAGCCUGAGUCUUGCAGGCCAAGGUGGUCUGGCUCCUCCAGCUGGCCUAUGGGAGGCCCUGGGAGAGCCCCGCCCUUCUACUCUAGGCUGAGUGAGGUCUGCUCUAGGCAGAGCCUCUUGAGCCCAAGUAAUGUUUUCACCGGUUACCUGUGAGUCCAGAAACCAGGCGGUUACCCAAGCGAGGCCCUCCGCCCACUUGCCUCCCACGUAAGGCCCAAGGGAGGUACUGAAGGAACUGAAGCUGCUUGUGAUGUGGGUAGAAGUUGUUCCAUUUCUCCCAGUUGAUUGGCAGGGCUGCCUUGAGAAUAUCUUUUCGUGUUGCUUGUUUUGACAGUUCAAAUCCAGGUCUAUGUGACAUAUAAAGCUAAUAAAAUUCUAAUUUCAUUGUUAAUCUUAUUUCAUUGCAGUAUAGGUUUUUACCCUCACACCUGCGUGGCAGGGUGUAAUUCCAUUAAUAAAAAAAAUCAACAUAUUCAUUGCAUGUCUUUUCCCUGAUGAUAUAUUGUGAGCAGUGUGAGUUGAAAAAGAACCAUUUAUUCCCACCGUGAAUGAGCCUGCAUGGGGCGGGAGCUUCACCUGCCCCUCAGUCAAUUAGGAAUGUAUCGAAAAGUCUAGCAGAAAACGAGUUAAAUUAACCGUUGGCUAAUUUCCUUGUGUCCCUCCUACAUAAUCCCCCCUUUUCAGCUUGCCCCAGAAAUUACCACAUGUUGCAAGGUUCAAAUAGUGCCUAAUGAAACAGUGACUAAACGCUUCUCCCUCCAGCACCACCAUCGGGGGAGCCCUUUCCUCGGCCCGCAAAGCCUGAGUGAUCUCCAACUCCCGGUUCUCGGGUCCUUAAAAAAAAAAAAGAAAGAAAGAAAAAAGGGUUUCUUUGGUAUGAGAAGAAAAAAAAAAAAAAAAAGGCUGUCAAUAACUUGUGAUCCAGUCUUACUGCUACCCGCUCACUUCCUGCCACUAGGACCCAGUGAGAUUCAGAGCUGCAGGUGCCCUAGGUAAGGGCCGCUUGGGCACCCUCCCCUCUCGCUGGAACCCUGGAGUUGGGAGAGUUGAGCCAGGGGCAAAGGAGAUUGGAGAAGGAUGGGGAGAUUGGCUUGGUGAACAAAAGGCAGAGAGAUUGAAGAGACGGAGACACACAAGGCAGAACGAGAACAAGAGAGAGAAAACAAAACAAAACCAAAAAAAACAGCAGAAGCAGAGAAUGAGAGGGAAGCAGAUACAGGGACAGACAACGCUGCCAACUUUCAGCUUUCUUCUCCCAAGUUAGAACCACGUGCCUGGCUCAAGCAACUCAUCAGCCCCUGAGGGAAGGUGUUUUGAAGUCUUGAGAUGCAAGCCCUAAUAAUUAAUCGUGGUCAUUAAUUAAUUAAGGAGGAAAAGGGGGAGGUGGCUUGCUGCUGCUUGACCCCAAACAAUUUAAAUUAGGCUUUGUGAAGGUGGACUCCAAAAGCCUGCCCUCCCCCUCCUUCCUAUUAUUUCUCUUUCACGCUCUCAAAAAUUUCCAUUAUAAUCCUCAGCGGCCUGGGGCCGGCAGAGCUGCGCGACGCUCUCGAGCCCCUUCCCAGCAAACCGAGGCCAAGCUGGCUUCGACGACUCCGAGCGCGCUGCCGCCCAUGGGCAGGGAGCUUUCCCAUAAGGAGCAGCUUCCACCUGCCUUUUUUUUCUGCACCUGCUGUGGGCUGUUUCUUCCUGAACUUCAGAAACCAAAUAGUUGCCUAAGAAUUAGUCCCGCUGCAACGCUCACAAAGGCUAAAUAUAGCUACAUCUCUGUUUCUCUCCCUCUCUCUCCCUCUUCCUCUCCCUCUCCCUCCGUCUCCUUUUUCCUCCCUCUCCCUAGAGACUUGAGUUCCUUAUUUGAAAUGGGGCAGCUAAUACAAAGUCAUCAAAGCACUAUGGUUCUUGUCUUAAAGUGACAGCCCUCUUUAUGGGGCUGUUUGAAAUACGCCCCCUGCUUUUCAAUGUCUCUCUAUCCAUCUUUGUCUGCUCUUCAGAAAAGCGGACAAUAUAAAGCCCAGCCUGGCGAGCUCCCCACGCUCAGGCCUGGGCAGUGCCAACCUCCGCCUUUAAGCAGAUUGAAAUUGUCACUGCUUCAUUAAUCUGAAACUAGUUACUUUCCUAAGCACACAGCACACACUUCCGAUCUGUCGGGAUUCACUCAGAGGAGCCCCUGGGGCCUUCCUGGGUUUGGGAUUUGGAAGACUCAACAAAGGUAGGACAAGGGUUCAGGAAAACAUAGGGCUCUGCUUGAAGAAAAGCAAUGCCCAGUGCAGAAGGGCAGGCAUUGACAUCAUUAUAAGCGCACACAAAACACCAUUUUCAGAGACUAUGGCGUGCCCAAGCUUUUGGAGGGUGUACUUGAGAACAAGGGGUCCAGCUAUGGGAACAGACAAGGACAUCUACUUCCACGUGGAGUAGGGACUGUGAGGACUCACAGGCUUUGCAUUUUUUCCCUCCCCGAACAGAAGCAGCUUGCUUCCAAAUCUGAGUCAGGGUUGGUUGUGAUUUUUCCCGUGUGAGCUCUGAUUCACCUCUGUUCUGGGAUCUCUUAAGUUCCUGUUCUUGAUGCUCCCUCCCAGUUCUAGCUUGUGUUACCCACUUCAAGUUCCAGGUCCUUGGGUGAGGAGCCCUGUGCUCCUCUGGAAUCUCUUACCUUCUGUGAGACAAGCUGACUCUUUUCUUCCUACCUCCACCGUUAACAAAAGACAAUACAAAAGAUUCCUCUACUUUUCAUAUUUCCAGCUGGCUUAGAAUAGCAAGUUUUUGGAUUCUAUUCCAUCUGAUUUAGGGAAGAGACGUGGGCACUUUUUUUCAGAGAAGCUCAAUUUUCAGUAAUGUGAGCCUAAAGAUUUAUAAAAUAGA
ensembl:lncRNA